GUCAGCUGCUACCAAGUAAAGACCAGGACAAGGGCAGCAGGGACAUGGAGAACCGAGGGACAAGUGUAGUGAAGGCAUGGAGGACAGAGGGACUAAGGUGGCAGGGACAUGGAGAAGAGAGGGACAAGGGUGGCAGGGAUAAAGUCAAGAGUCACAAGCCUUGCAUUCUCAUUGCUGUCGGCUUCCAGUUUGGUAGCUGUUUUGCUGUUGCUAUGCUGUUUUAAGACAACAUCCCACUGUUUAAUCCAGCUGGCCAGGAACUUGCAAUCUUCCUGCCUCAAUCUCCUGACAUACUGGAAUUCAGAAAACUUUUAAAGAAGUAAGCACAUAUCGUGGCCGACACACGCGGCAAUCCAGUCUCCCGCUCCCGCAAUCUUAGAUGGAGAGGAAAGGAAGACCCGUCGUGGUGGCCGCUAGGGACUUCAUCAAAAGGAAAACCCGAGCAUUUCCCAUCAACAACCUCAGUCGUGGCGGGGAGGCCUGCUUGCAGUGAAAGCAAAACUGGAUUCCGAGGAGACCAACAGAUUUUUACAGUUGUAUUUUGUCAAGACUCGAUGAAGAUAAGGAUCUUCAAAACCUGUCUUUCAUAGAAUCAUCCGCAAUCCACAGAGAAUAUCCCAAAUAUUUACAUUUAUGUAUAUGCAUACACGAAUUUUAAAUAAACAUGCCAAAAAAACCCAGUAA